rnacentral:rRNA from 1 species
AUUGAACGCUGGCGGCAGGCCUAACACAUGCAAGUCGAGCGGAUGAAGGGAGCUUGCUCCUGGAUUCAGCGGCGGACGGGUGAGUAAUGCCUAGGAAUCUGCCUGGUAGUGGGGGAUAACGUCCGGAAACGGGCGCUAAUACCGCAUACGUACUGAGGGAGAAAGUGGGGGAUCUUCGGACCUCACGCUAUCAGAUGAGCCUAGGUCGGAUUAGCUAGUUGGUGGGGUAAAGGCCUACCAAGGCGACGAUCCGUAACUGGUCUGAGAGGAUGAUCAGUCACACUGGAACUGAGACACGGUCCAGACUCCUACGGGAGGCAGCAGGGGGGAAUAUUGGACGAUGGGCGAAAGCCUGAUCCAGCCAUGCCGCGUGUGUGAAGAAGGUCUUCGGAUUGUAAAGCACUUUAAGUUGGGAGGAAGAGCAGUAAGUUAAUACCUUGCUGUUUUGACGUUACCAACAGAAUAAGCACCGGCUAGCUUCGU